UUACGGCCAUAUCACGUUGAAACACUGUUUCUUGUCCGAUCACUGAAGUUAAGCAAUGUUGAACCAGGUCAGCACCUAGAUAGGUUACUGCUGAGGAAUACCAGAUGCUGUAAG